rnacentral:ribozyme from 12 species
AAUUAGGCUUGUGUAUAUUUUUUCUUUUUCCUUUAUUUUUUUUUCUUUUUUUUUUUAAUU